AACAAAAAAAUCGAGCGUGGUUCGGCUGAUGGCAGCCGAUUUAAGGAAAUCCGGUGCGAUUCCGGAGCUGCUUUUCCCUGUGUGAAAUGUAUCGAAUGAAAAACGCCUUAUGAAAACAUUUUGAGCCAGUAUAUCCAACACGUCAGGCAAAGAAUA
rnacentral:ncRNA from 2 species